AGAGUUUGAUCCUGGCUCAGAACGAACGCUGGCGGCGUGGCUAAGACAUGCAAGUCGAACGGGUUAUGCAAUUGAGUAAUCGAGCGUAUAACUAGUGGCGAAAGGGUUAGUAAUGGAUAGGUAACGUACCCUGCACUUCAGGAUAGCGUCUAGAUUACUUCGGUAAUCUUUCCGAAAGGGGCAGUAAUACUGAAUAAUGUCAUUUGUUGAUAAACAUUUGACCAAAGAUUUAUCGGUGUGGGAGCGGCCUAUUUCCUAUCAGCUUGUUGGUGAGGUAAUGGCUCACCAAGGCAAUGACGGGUAGCGGGACUGAGAGGUUGGCCCGCAACAUCGGGACUGAGACACUGCCCGGACCUCCACGGAGGGCUGCAGUAACGAAUAUUGCGCAAUGAGCGAAAGCUUGACGCAGCGACGCCGCGUGUAGGAUGAAGUUCUUCGGGAUGUAAACUACUGUCAGGGCUAAGAAAGUCUGUCUCCGGAUAGAUUGAUCUACCCCAGAGGAAGUCACGGCUAACUUCGUGCCAGCAGCCGCGGUAAGACGAAGGUGGCAAGCGUUGUUCGGUAUUACUGGGCUUAAAGCGUGUGUAGGCGGAAAAGUAAGCGUUUUGUGAAAUCCCUCGGCUUAACCGAGGAAUUGCUUGACGAACUGCUUUUCUUGAGGCAAGUAGGGGUGUACGGAACUCUUGGUGGAGCGGUGGAAUGCGUAGAUAUCAAGAGGAACGCCAGAGGUGAAGACGGUACACUGGGCUUGUCCUGACGCUGAGACACGAAAGCGUGGGGAGCAAACAGGAUUAGAUACCCUGGUAGUCCACGCUGUAAACGAUGCCUACUAGGUCGUGGAGGUUCUGACGCCGUCACGGCCGAAGCAAAAGUAUUAAGUAGGCCGCCUGGGGAGUACGGUCGCAAGGCUAAAACUCAAAGGAAUUGACGG
rnacentral:rRNA from 1 species